rnacentral:rRNA from 1 species
GACGAACGCUGGCGGCGUGCUUAACACAUGCAAGUCGAACGGUAAGGCCCUUCGGGGUACACGAGUGGCGAACGGGUGAGUAACACGUGGGUGAUCUGCCCUGCACUUCGGGAUAAGCCUGGGAAACUGGGUCUAAUACCGGAUAGGACCACUGCCUGCAUGGGUGGUGGUGGAAAGCUUGUGCGGUGUGGGAUGGGCCCGCGGCCUAUCAGGUUGUUGGUGGGGUGAUGGCCUACCAAGGCGACGACGGGUAGCCGGCCUGAGAGGGUGACCGGCCACACUGGGACUGAGAUACGGCCCAGACUCCUACGGGAGGCAGCAGUGGGGAAUAUUGCACAAUGGGCGCAAGCCUGAUGCAGCGACGCCGCGUGAGGAAUGACGGCCUUCGGGUUGUAAACCUCUUUCAGCACCGACGAAGCGCAAGUGACGGUAGGUGCAGAAGAAGGACCGGCCAACUACGUGCCAGCAGCCGCGGUAA